UACGUAGGGUGCGAGCGUUAAUCGGAAUUACUGGGCGUAAAGCGUGCGCAGGCGGCUAUUUAAGCUUGCUGUGAAAGCCCCGGGCUUAACCUGGGAACUGCAGUGAGGACUGGAUGGCUGGAGUGUGGCAGAGGGGGGGUGGAAUUCCACGUGUAGCAGUGAAAUGCGUAGAGAUGUGGAGGAACACCGAUGGCGAAGGCAGCCCCCUGGGCUAACCACUGACGCCUCAGGCACGAAGCGUGGGGAGCAAACAGG
rnacentral:rRNA from 1 species